UAUGCGAAAUCCGAAAAGCAGAAAAAGAGUAGGAA
rfam:Paludibacter sp. 47-17 scnpilot_p_inoc_scaffold_28, whole genome shotgun sequence.